CAGAGAAUAGUUUAAAUAAAAUAUUAAUUUUGGAGAUUAAUGAUGUAUACAUUAUAUUUCUCUGA
rnacentral:tRNA from 1 species